rnacentral:pre_miRNA from 1 species
CCGUGGCCGCGGGGCCUUCCCUUGUGCUUGAUCUAACCAUGUGGCAGCUCUGCAAACGAAACAUGGUUCUGUCAAGCACCGAGGAAAGCCUGGCGUUCUCCAGC